UUUGUGGAGAGAUUUGACCGCUUGCAACCACGAUAAAAAAUGCUAAAGAAGUU
rnacentral:ncRNA from 1 species